rnacentral:rRNA from 1 species
GUUUGAUCCUGGCUCAGAAUCAACGCUGGCGGCGCGCUUAACACAUGCAAGUCGCACGAGAAAGCGGGGGCAACCUCGUGAGUAAAGUGGCGUACGGGUGAGUAACACGUGGGUAAUCUACCUCUUGGUGUGGAAUAACGCUGGGAAACCGGCGCUAAUACCGCAUAAGCUCGGGAGAGGAAAGCAGCAAUGCGCCGAGAGAGGAGCCCGCGGCCGAUUAGCUAGUUGGUGAGGUAACGGCCCACCAAGGCUUAGAUCGGUAGCCGGCCUGAGAGGGCACACGGCCACACUGGCACUGAAACACGGGCCAGACUCCUACGGGAGGCAGCAGUGGGGAAUCUUGCACAAUGGGGGCAACCCUGAUGCAGCGACGCCGCGUGAGCGAUGAAGCCCUUCGGGGUGUAAA